GACGAACGCUGGCGGCGUGCCUAAUACAUGCAAGUCGAGCGAAGUUUUUCUGGUGCUUGCACUAGAAAAACUUAGCGGCGAACGGGUGAGUAACACGUAAAGAACCUGCCUCAUAGACUGGGACAACUAUUGGAAACGAUAGCUAAUACCGGAUAACAGCAUUAACUGCAUGGUUGAUGUUUGAAAGUUGGUUUUGCUAACACUAUGAGAUGGCUUUGCGGUGCAUUAGCUAGUUGGUGGGGUAAAGGCCUACCAAGGCGACGAUGCAUAGCCGACCUGAGAGGGUGAUCGGCCACACUGGGACUGAGACACGGCCCAGACUCCUACGGGAGGCAGCAGUAGGGAAUCUUCCGCAAUGGGCGAAAGCCUGACGGAGCAACGCCGCGUGAGUGAAGAAGGAUUUCGGUUCGUAAAGCUCUGUUGUUAGGGAAGAAUGAUUGUGUAGUAACUAUACACAGUAGAGACGGUACCUAACCAGAAAGCCACGGCUAACUACGUGCCAGCAGCCGCGGUAAUACGUAGGUGGCAAGCGUUGUCCGGAAUUAUUGGGCGUAAAGCGCGCGCAGGUGGUUUAAUAAGUCUGAUGUGAAAGCCCACGGCUCAACCGUGGAGGGUCAUUGGAAACUGUUAAACUUGAGUGCAGGAGAGAAAAGUGGAAUUCCUAGUGUAGCGGUGAAAUGCGUAGAGAUUAGGAGGAACACCAGUGGCGAAGGCGGCUUUUUGGCCUGUAACUGACACUGAGGCGCGAAAGCGUGGGGAGCAAACAGG
rnacentral:rRNA from 1 species